rnacentral:rRNA from 1 species
CGGUGGUCCCACCUGACCCCAUGCCGAACUCAGAAGUGAAACGCCGUAGCGCCGAUGGUAGUGUGGGGUUUCCCCAUGCGAGAGUAGGGAACUGCCA